rnacentral:rRNA from 1 species
GAUGAACGCUGGCGGCGUGCCUAAUACAUGCAAGUAGAACGCUGAAGGAAGGAGCUUGCUCUUUCCGGAUGAGUUGCGAACGGGUGAGUAACGCGUAGGUAACCUGCCUGGUAGCGGGGGAUAACUAUUGGAAACGAUAGCUAAUACCGCAUAACAGUAGAUGUUGCAUGACAACUAUUUGAAAGGGGCAAUUGCUCCACUCCCAGAUGGACCUGCGUUGUAUUAGCUAGUUGGUGAGGUAACGGAUCACCAAGGCGACGAUACAUAGCCGACCUGAGAGGGGGAUCGGCCACACUAGGACAGAGACACGGCCCAGGCUCAUGAGGGAGGAAGCAGUAGGGAAUACUAGGAAAAGGACGGAAGUCUGACCGAGCAACGCCGCGUGAGUGAAGAAGGAUAUCGGAUCGUAAAGCUCUGUUGUAAGAGAAGAACGAGUGUGAGAGUGGAAAGUUCACACUGUGACGGUAUCUUACCAGAAAAGUACGGCUAACUACGUG